rnacentral:rRNA from 1 species
UACGAGGGGGGCGAGCGUUGUUCGGAAUUAUUGGGCGUAAAGGGCGCGUAGGCGGUGUGGCAAGUCACCUGUGAAAUCUCCUGGCUCAACUGGGAGCUUGCAGGCGAAACUGCCGUGCUGGAGUGUGGGAGAGGUGCGUGGAAUUCCUGGUGUAGCGGUGAAAUGCGUAGAUAUCAGGAGGAACACCUGUGGCGAAAGCGGCGCACUGGACCACAACUGACGCUGAGGCGCGAAAGCUAGGGGAGCAAACAGG